GGGGAAAGAGGAUAAGAAUCGUCAGGAAGGAUUCAGACCUAGUUGGAGACAUUCACCCAGAGAGAGAGAGACAAAUAACACACCACAAGACAGCCAUCCCUCUCUUCAACAAACAAGCACAGCAAAACUCUCCAACCAGCUUCUGCCUUAGGAGUUGAGGAUACGAAAAUGAAUGAGACACUGUCCCUGUCCUCAAAAUGUUUACCGUCUAAUAAUAUAAUUCCACUCAGCAACUGAGGGCUUCCAGGGGCUUUGCAUGCUUUGUUUCAUUUGUAAUCCUCACCUACUCUCAUGCAGGAGGUCCUAGUAUCUCCAUUUUGCAGACGAGGAACCUUAGACUCUGGAAUGUGUCCACUGUCUGAAUAAUCACCACUAGGUGUCCAAAGUGCUCUAACUAGAGCCUGCACACGUCGCCUUGGGAGCUUCAGACUGACUUUUCAGAGCAGCUCAGGUUGUGGUCAGGGAAGAACAGUGUCUGAGCUGCUUCUUAAAUGACUCAACCUCCAGCAGGCCAGGCAAGGCAAGGAAUUCCUGGAACAAGACUAGUAUAUGCAAAACACCUGGGUAUAAAAGAACACAAUUAGGGGGCAUGAGCUAUUUGCUCAAUUCUAAAAUCUAAGAGGUUUUCAAGGUAAUGGUGGGAGACGUAGCUGCGAAGGGAGGCAGAAGCAAGAGCUUUGAACAGAAACCUAAAAAAUAGAACUUCUGGAGGCAAUAGGGAGCCAUUGAAGGUUGUUAAGCAGGGGAGAGAGCAUCUCAAAGACCACAGGUCAGUAGAAGUAAACCAUAUUGUCAGGGCUCUGAGUCAUGGGAGAGAAGAACAGGGGUAGGGUGAGCCAACAAGGUUCCUAGAGGCAGGGCACUCCAGUUAGGCCCAACGCUCAGAUGAAGGUAGCGUGUUGAUAGGAAAAGGCAAUGGUCAAAUUAAGCCACGGACAAGGCACAUGAAACCUGGAACGUUUUAGACUCAGUCUUGAAUUUCCCUGCCUCCACCUCAGCAUGGGCAAACUAAAAAAGAAACAGCUGAGAAAGUGUCAGUUGUAUUAAAUCCACUGAGUUCCUGUCUCGGGCUCUUGGGCCCUGCCUUUCAUGCUAUAUUUAGAUGCUCCAGAAUUCUCCUCUGCUCAGGCAUGUCCCACACCCCCUCAGAAGAGUGAGCAUGUUUCCUGGGCUCCCCCAGCCUUUGCCAACCCCAUCAAGCUUCCUGUCUGACCCCAAGACACAUUUUCCAACCAGGGUUUGAGGGACUCCACGUGUCCCAGCCCCUUUUCUCCCUGAGAUCUGGAUUCCACAAAGAACCAGCCAGAAUUUGGCAUUAUUCUCCUCAUGAAGAAAAGCAAGCCUCAAUUCUUUCUUUGGCUGGGUUUUUCACCAUAACUGGUUUUCAUUAGCUUUUAAACGGAAAAUAAAUUUUCCCCAAUGGAACAUUGCCAUUUAUUUGCAGAAAGUCAUUGUUCAUUUCAUAUUUUUUUAUGCUGAAUGACCCAAGCCCAAGUCUGCUGAGGCUUUGUCCAGGGACCGCAGGGAGUGUGAUUUAGAAACCUUCCUGGCAGGCACCGUUUGAAGAGACAGUGUCCAGUUGCCUCCUAUUAAAACUGCAGGGUUGAGAAAACUCACUUUCCCUUCCAGUCCAAGUCCUAGUUCACCUGGCAAAGAAGCAGCUUCUCAAAGUCUCCUCUUCCUCCUAGCCUCUCCUCACUCUGGUGCUAAAAAGAGAAGGAAAGAGUAAACAAAACCAGGAAAGUAAUCCAGUUGAUAAAACGCCAAGUGAGGUUGUUCUGCAGAGCCAGAGUGGGGCCACCUGGGCACAAUUCUCCCACAAAGGAGCCAACUCUACUGAGGCUGAGACCAAGAGCCAUCUGGACUCCCAGGCCAGCCCCAGGGCACUGAGCAGCGGGUUAGGAUACUUAAGGACAGGCAAGUCAGGCAAGAAGCAGAAAGACAGGAAAUGGAGAGAUAGGAAGCAGAGAGACAGGAAGUGGAGGGACAGGAAGUGGAGAAUCCAGCAGGGGCCAAUGUUGGACAAGACUCCUUUGCCAGCUGCGCUCCCCAUGCAACGGGAUGAGGAGAUUUUAAGCCUCUACCAGAAAAACUCAAGUCUGGAGAUAAUUUAAUUUUUCCUGGGUCUCUGCCAGCCAUCUCCAGAGUUUUGUCAAAUUUUCCACCUACUUCCUCUGUGUGUGGAAACUCAGCCUCCAUUUUAGAAACUCCAUUCCCAACAGUGGUUCUGCACCACCACCCAUGUUUUUUUGUUUGUUUGUUUGUUUGUUUUUGGUUAUCCUGGAGGUUUUGUGGAUUAAGAUGUGUGAGAUGAGGGGUUUAUAGGGACUGGCUGGAGGUAUGCCCUCCCUUCCACCCACACACCCACACACACACACACGCUGUUGUGCAGAAGAUGUUUCUUGGGUGGCUGAGCAAAGAAUCAGGUAUUUGGAUGUCCUGAUUUGACCCCGAGAAAAAUAACAGCCAUCCACAGAGCUCUGAAACAUACUUCCCACUGCUUGGAAUGGCAGCUCCUCCUCAGAAUACAAGCAAGGAAAUGUGUGGCAUCUGGCUACCAUGAGCUGAAGACAAAGCCUACAUGGGGAAAAGUGCAAAACCAGGAGAAUGGGAGAGAAAUGGAGCCACGCACUGAUGCUAUUAUGAAACAUCUCAAUCAAACUGCACCUCAAGACCGCCCUAUCACUGCAUUUGUCAUUUACAUGAGCCAAUAAACUCUCUCAUUUAAGUCA